GACGAACGCUGGCGGCGUGCUUAACACAUGCAAGUCGAACGGAAAGGCCCUGCUUGCAGGGUACUCGAGUGGCGAACGGGUGAGUAACACGUGGGUGAUCUGCCCUGCACUUCGGGAUAAGCCUGGGAAACUGGGUCUAAUACCGGAUAGUAGCCAUUUUUAGUGUGAUGGUUGGAAAGUUUUUUCGGUGUAGGAUGAGCUCGCGGCCUAUCAGCUUGUUGGUGGGGUAAUGGCCUACCAAGGCGGCGACGGGUAGCCGGCCUGAGAGGGUGGACGGCCACAUUGGGACUGAGAUACGGCCCAGACUCCUACGGGAGGCAGCAGUGGGGAAUAUUGCACAAUGGGCGCAAGCCUGAUGCAGCGACGCCGCGGGGGGGAUGACGGCCUUCGGGUUGUAAACUCCUUUCGCUAGGGACGAAGCUUUUUGUGACGGUACCUAGAUAAGAAGCACCGGCUAACUACGUG
rnacentral:rRNA from 1 species